UUUAAUGGAGAGUUUGAUCCUGGCUCAGGACGAACGCUGGCGGCGUGCCUAAUACAUGCAAGUCGAGCGGACUUGAUGGAGAGCUUGCUCUCCUGAGAGUUAGCGGCGGACGGGUGAGUAACACGUAGGUAACCUGCCCAUAAGACUGGGAUAACCCACGGAAACGUGAGCUAAUACCAGAUAGGCAUCUUCUUCGCAUGAGGGAGAUGAGAAAGACGGUUUCGGCUGUCACUUAUGGAUGGACCUGCGGCGCAUUAGCUAGUUGGUGAGGUAACGGCUCACCAAGGCGACGAUGCGUAGCCGACCUGAGAGGGUGAUCGGCCACACUGGGACUGAGACACGGCCCAGACUCCUACGG
rnacentral:rRNA from 1 species